UACGGAGGGGGCUAGCGUUGUUCGGAAUUACUGGGCGUAAAGCGCACGUAGGCGGACGUGUCAGUCAGGGGGUGAAAUCCCGGAGCUCAACUUCGGAACUGCCUUUGAUACAGCACGUCUUGAGUCCGGAAGAGGUGGGUGGAAUUCCUAGUGUAGAGGUGAAAUUCGUAGAUAUUAGGAAGAACACCGGUGGCGAAGGCGGCCCACUGGUCCGGUACUGACGCUGAGGUGCGAAAGCGUGGGGAGCAAACAGGAUUAGAUACCCCGUGGUAAGUCC
rnacentral:rRNA from 1 species